rnacentral:rRNA from 1 species
CUCUCGUGCAAGUCGACAUGGUCGCCUGGGGGAGCUGGCUCCGCCGGAUGAGAGUGGGGCACGGGUGCGUAUCGCGGGAGCAACCUGCCUUUGUCAGGCGGAGAUGCCGUUAAGAGACGGAUUAAUACCGCAUGACGUACUUUCCGGCAUCGGGGUGUAUCCAAAUAUUGGUAGGACAUGCGUGGGCUCGCGUGACAUUAGCUUGUUGGUGCGGUAACGGCGCACCAAGGCGACGAUGUCUAGGGGCUCUGAGAGGAGAAACCCCCACGCUGGUACUGAGCCAGGGUCAAACUCUAUACGGGAGGCAGCAGUAGGGAAUAUUGGUCAAUGGGCGGGAGCCUGAACCAGCCAUGCCGCGUGCGGGAGGAAGGCCCUAUGGGUCGUAAACCGCUUUUACACGGGAACAACCGCAGCUACGGGUAGCGGCCUGAGCGUACCGUGGGAAUAAGGAUCGGCUAACUCCGUGCCAGCAGCCGCGGUAAUACGGAGGAUCCGAGCGUUAUCCGGAAUUAUUGGGUUUAAAGGGUGCGUAGGCGGCACUUUAAGUCAGGGGUGAAAUACAGCGGCUCAACCGUUGCAGUGCCCUUGAUACUGAAGUGCUUGAAUGUGGCCGAAGGAGGCGGAACGGGACAAGUAGCGGUGAAAUGCAUAGAUAUGUCCCAGAACCCCGAUUGCGAAGGCAGCUUCCUAGACCGUUAUUGACGCUGAUGCACGAAAGCGUGGGGAUCGAACAGGAUUAGAUACCCUGGUAGUCCACGCCCUAAACGAUGAUGACUCGAUGUUUGCGAUAUACAGUAAGCGUCCAAGCGAAAGCGUUAAGUCAUCCACCUGGGGAGUACGGCCGCAAGGCUGAAACUCAAAGGAAUUGACGGGGGCCCGCACAAGCGGAGGAGCAUGUGGUUUAAUUCGAUGAUACGCGAGGAACCUUACCCGGGCUUGAAAGUUAGCGGCGGUGCCAGAGACGGCACUUCCCUUCGGGGCGCGAAACUAGGUGCUGCAUGGCUGUCGUCAGCUCGUGCCGUGAGGUGUUGGGUUAAGUCCCGCAACGAGCGCAACCCCUAUGUCCAGUUGCCAUCGGGUAAUGCCGGGGACUCUGGACAGACUGCCUGUGCAAACAGUGAGGAAGGCGGGGACGACGUCAAGUCAUCAUGGCCCUUACGUCCGGGGCUACACACGUGCUACAAUGGGCGGUACAGCGGGCAGCUACCUGGCAACAGGAUGCGAAUCCCCCAAAGCCGCCCACAGUUCGGAUCGGGGCCUGCAACUCGGCCCCGUGAAGCUGGAUUCGCUAGUAAUCGCGUAUCAGCAAUGACGCGGUGAAUACGUUCCCGGGCCUUGUACACACCACCCGUCAAGCCAUGAAAGCUGGGGGUGCCUAAAGCAUGUAGCCGCAAGGAGCGUGUUAGG